rnacentral:rRNA from 1 species
GACAGAGGGUGCAAACGUUGUUCGGAAUUACUGGGCGGAAAGCGCGUGUAGGCGGCUAUGCAAGUCGGACGUGAAAUCCCACGGCUCAACCGUGGAAGUGCGCUCGAAACUGCGUAGCUAGAGUCCUGGAGAGGAAGGUGGAAUGCUUGGUGUAGAGGUGAAAUUCGUAGAUAUCAAGCGGAACACCGGUGGCGAAGGCGGCCUUCUGGACAGUGACUGACGCUGAGACGCGAAAGCGUGGGGAGCAAACAGG